AAUUUGAAAUCUGGCCUCUUUGGGGUCCGAGUUGUAAUUUGUAGAGGAUGUUUCGGGCACCGCUCCGGUUUAAAUUUCUUGGAACAGAAUGUCAAAGAGGGUGAGAACCCCGUCUUGGACCGGCAGUAGGGCCCAUGUGAAACUCCUUCGACGAGUCGAGUUGUUUGGGAAUGCAGCUCAAAAUGGGUGGUAAAUUUCAUCUAAAGCUAAAUAUUGGCCAGAGACCGAUAGCGCACAAGUAGAGUGAUCGAAAGAUGAAAAGCACUUUGAAAAGAGAGUUAAACAGUACGUGAAAUUGUUGAAAGGGAAGCGCUUGCAACCAGACUUGCGCGCGGCGGUUCCCCCUUCCUUUUGGUUGGGUUAUUCCGCCGUGUCCAGGCCAACAUCGGUUCUGGGGGUCGGUUAAAGGCCUGGGGAAUGUAUCUACCCUUCGGGCGUAGACUUAUAGCCCCGGGUGUCAUGCGACCUCCCGGGACCGAGGAACGCGCUUCGGCUCGGAUGUUGGCGUAAUGGUUGUCAGCGACCCGUCUUGAAACACGGACCAAGGAGUCUAACAUCUAUGCGAGUGUUUGGGUGUCAAACCCGGAACGCGGAAUGAAAGUGAACGGAGGUAGGAAGCUUCGGCUGCACUAUCGACCGAUCCUGAUGUCUUCGGAUGGAUUUGAGUAAGAGCAUAGCUGUUGGGACCCGAAAGAUGGUGAACUAUGCCUGAAUAGGGUGAAGCCAGAGGAAACUCUGGUGGAGGCUCGCAGCGGUUCUGACGUGCAAAUCGAUCGUCAAUUUGGGUAUAGGGGCGAAAGACUAAUCGAACCAUUAAAAGU
rnacentral:rRNA from 1 species